rnacentral:misc_RNA from 1 species
CUCCUCCAAGCCAAGAAACAAUGGAGAAUUGAUCAAUCUUUCGUCUUUAAUCCAUUUUUUUUUUAAUUCUUGAUAAUUCUCUAUCGAACAAUACAUUCUUUCGAAUUGGCGGAAACACAAUCAUCAAUCUUCUCAACCUCUCAUUCUCUAUCUCUGCAUUUUCUCUAUGUUAAUUUCGUCUUCUUUUUUCCUUUUUAAUUAUAGGUUCUUGUGUUUUGCAGGCUUGGUUUCUUGUUUUUUCUGUCUCUGUCUCUAUCUCUCUCUUGGGUUCGUUAUGUAUCCAAGAUUGAUGUGCUCUUCUACCGAUAUUCAAACUCGAAGCCCUCUUCAAAGGAAAAACUCCCGCGAAAAUUUGGAUAGAUUUAUACCGAAUCGGUCAGCAAUGGACAUGGAUUAUGCACAUUACAUGCUGACAGAAGGGAGGAAAGGCAAGGAGAAGCCCGCUGUUUGGAGUUCACCGUCAAGCGAACCAUACCAGAAGUUGUUGGCUGACACAUUCAAUAUCACCGCCGGGAGACGCAUUUUGGCAUUCAAGAACAAACCACCUGCUUUUGUGAACCCAAUCCCGCAAGAGCUCUUUUCAUCAUUUCAUCAACCUAAAAUUGUCAAGCGCCGGCGCUACAUUCCUCAGAGUCCAGAGAGGACAUUGGAUGCGCCAGAGCUAGUGGAUGAUUUCUACUUGAAUUUGCUAGACUGGGGUAGCAGCAAUGUCCUUGCAAUUGCUCUCGGAGACACAGUGUACCUAUGGGAUGCUUCAAAUAGGUCUACCUCUGAACUUGUUACUGUUAACAGUGAGGAUGGUCCUGUUGCUAGCAUCAGCUGGGCUCCAAAUGGGUGUCACAUUGCAAUCGGCUUGAGCAAUUCCGAUAUCCAGAUAUGGGACUGCAAUAGUAAUCUACGGCAUGUACGAACAUUAAGAGGUGGCCACCAAUUACGAGUAAAUUCCCUGGCCUGGAACAAUCACGUUCUUACUACUGGAGGAAUGGAUGCGAAAAUCAUCAACAAUGAUGUGAGAGUAAGAGAACACGUUGUUGAAACAUACCGGGGACACCACCAGGAAGUUUGUGGACUGAAAUGGUCAGUUUCAGGCCAGCAGUUAGCAAGUGGCGGGAACGAUAACCUUCUUUUCAUAUGGGACAGAUCGAUGACCUCUUCAAAUUCACCAACGCAAUGGCUUCACAGGUUUGAAAAUCACAGAGCUGCAGUGAAGGCCCUUGCUUGGUGUCCCUUCCAGAGCAAUCUACUGGCCUCUGGUGGAGGUGGGGGUGACAUGUGCAUUAAAUUCUGGAACAGCCAUACUGGCUCUUGCUUGAAUUCAGUAAAUACUGGCUCACAGGUUUGUGCUCUCCUUUGGAAUAAGCAUGAACGUGAAUUACUCAGCUCUCAUGGGUUUACAGAGAAUCAGCUCAUUCUGUGGAAAUAUCCGUCAAUGGUAAAGAUGUCUAAGCUCACCGGGCAUACAUCCAGAGUCCUCUUCAUGACUCAGAGCCCAAAUGGAUACACAGUGGCAACUGCAGCUGGGGAUGAGACCUUGCGUUUCUGGAAUGUGUUUGGAGACCCAGAAGUAGCUAAACCUGCAUCCAAGGCUAAUCCUGAGCCAUUUGCUCAUGUAUCUCGCAUCCGUUGAUAAUAAGCUGGGCGCUUGGGUCUUGGCAAGGAUAAUCACCAUCCUGAUGAACAAUAUAAUUUACUACUGUCAAUUUGUGUACAUUAACAUGCUAAUGCAGGGUUCACAAAAUCAAAAUGUACUUUGAUAUAUAGUGAAGGCACAGGAACAAUAUUAAAGAAAAAGGUCUUGACAAAAUAUUUUUUAAGUAGAAUAUGGACUACAUAUGGAAGUAGUUUUCCUCAGGAAAUUAGGAUUAUGUUUUCCCAGAAAAGUUAGCCAGGAAGAAAAGAACUAAAACCAAGAAAAUUGGAGGGAGUGCUUUCCCAGAACGAAUUCUUUUGCUAGUUGGCUUGUACAUUUUACUCUUUCUAUCUCCACAGGCCUGUCCAUAUAUUGCAAAAUCCUCCAAAAGUUGUUCUUCA